GUGCUCGCUUCGGCAGCACAUACACUAAAAUUGGAACGAUACAGAGAAGAUUAGCAUGGCCCCUAAAAAAAUAAAAUAAAAUAAAAAAAAGGAAAACCAAACUUCU